CAGCCGCCACGGUAAUACGAAGGGGGCUAGCGUUGUUCGGAUUUACUGGGCGUAAAGCGCACGUAGGCGGAUCGAUCAGUCAGGGGUGAAAUCCCAGAGCUCAACUCUGGAACUGCCUUUGAUACUGUCGAUCUGGAGUAUGGAAGAGGUGAGUGGAAUUCCGAGUGUAGAGGUGAAAUUCGUAGAUAUUCGGAGGAACACCAGUGGCGAAGGCGGCUCACUGGUCCAUUACUGACGCUGAGGUGCGAAAGCGUGGGGAGCAAACAGGAUUAGAUACCCCAGUAGUCCCUGUCUUUAUACA
rnacentral:rRNA from 1 species